rnacentral:rRNA from 1 species
CUACGGGGGGCUGCAGUGAGGAAUAUUGGUCAAUGGGCGCGAGCCUGAACCAGCCAUCCCGCGUGCAGGAUGACGGCCCUAUGGGUUGUAAACUGCUUUUCUAUGCCAAGAAACCUGAUUACGUGUAAUCAGUUGCCGGUAGCAUAGGAAUAAGCAUCGGCUAACUCCGUGCCAGCAGCCGCGGUAAUACGGAGGAUGCAAGCGUUAUCAGGAUUCAUUGGGUUUAAAGGGUGCGCAGGUGGGCUUGUAAGUCAGUGGUGAAAUGCUGCCGCUUAACGGUAGAACUGCCAUUGAUACUGCGAGUCUUGAGUAUGGUUGAGGUAGGCGGAAUGUGUUGUGUAGCGGUGAUAUGCAUAGAUAUGACACAGAACGCCAAUUGCGAAGGCAGCUUACUAAGCCAUUACUGACGCUGAGGCACGAAAGCGUGGGGAGCGAACAGGAUUAGAUACCCGGGUAGUC